rnacentral:rRNA from 1 species
AAUCAACGCUGGCGGCGUGCCUCAGACAUGCAAGUCGAACGAUUAAAGCUCUCUUCGGAGAGUGUAUAGAGUGGCGCACGGGUGAGUAACACGUAAGUAAUCUACCUUUGAGUGGGGAACAACGUCCGGAAACGGACGCUAAUACCGCAUAAUGCAGUGGCAUCGCAAGAUGACAGUUGUUAAAGACUUAUCGCUUGAAGAGGAGCUUGCGGCAGAUUAGCUAGUUGGUAAGGUAAUGGCUUACCAAGGCUACGAUCUGUAACCGGUCUAAGAGGACGGUCGGUCACACUGACACUGAAUAACGGGUCAGACUCCUACGGGAGGCAGCAGUCGGGAAUUUUGGGCAAUGGGCGAAAGCCUGACCCAGCAACGCCGCGUGAAGGAUGAAGUAUUUCGGUAUGUAAACUUCGAAAGAAUGGGAAGAAUAAAUGACGGUACCAUUUAUAAGGUCCGGCUAACUACGUGCCAGCAGCCGCCGCGGU